UCCUACGGGAGGCAGCAGUGAGGAAUAUUGGACAAUGGGCGGGAGCCUGAUCCAGCCAUGCCGCGUGCAGGAAGACUGCCCUAUGGGUUGUAAACUGCUUUUAUACGGGAAGAAACCCACCUACGUGUAGGUGGCUGACGGUACCGUAAGAAUAAGGACCGGCUAACUCCGUGCCAGCAGCCGCGGUAAU
rnacentral:rRNA from 1 species